rnacentral:lncRNA from 1 species
GAAAUUAUAUCGCUUUUUAAGACUUAAUUCAAUUAAAUUAUUUUAUCAUUUACGCUAGUUCAUCUCAUUUUAUCAGAUAUUAUGCAGUAUUCCUCUUCUAUUUAUAUCAGGUACCCAUUUUGAAGCAAAAGUGAAAAAGGGAAGAAAAGGAGGUGUAAAAAGGAACAAAAAGGAGAGAAAAGGAACCAAAGGCCAAAGCCCAGCCCAAAGCGCACAAGUCACCAAUGCUGUGCCUGUGACGGACGUCACAGGACGCGUGACGAGCGUCACGCGAAGUAGCCUUGUGACGGACGUCACACAUGGUGUGACGAGCGUCACACCAGUCCACUAGCUUUUUGGCGCAAGUUACGCUCUCAGAGGAAUGGAAGUAACGUUGA